GACGAACGCUGGCGGCGUGCCUAAUACAUGCAAGUAGAACGCUGAAGGAGGAGCUUGCUCUUCUGGAUGAGUUGCGAACGGGUGAGUAACGCGUAGGUAACCUGCCUGGUAGCGGGGGAUAACUAUUGGAAACGAUAGCUAAUACCGCAUAAGAGUAGAUGUUGCAUGACAUUUGCUUAAAAGGUGCAAUUGCAUCACUACCAGAUGGACCUGCGUUGUAUUAGCUAGUUGGUGGGGUAACGGCUCACCAAGGCGACGAUACAUAGCCGACCUGAGAGGGUGAUCGGCCACACUGGGACUGAGACACGGCCCAGACUCCUACGGGAGGCAGCAGUAGGGAAUCUUCGGCAAUGGACGGAAGUCUGACCGAGCAACGCCGCGUGAGUGAAGAAGGUUUUCGGAUCGUAAAGCUCUGUUGUAAGAGAAGAACGAGUGUGAGAGCGGAAAGUUCACACUGUGACGGUAGCUUACCAGAAAGGGACGGCUAACUACGUG
rnacentral:rRNA from 1 species